rnacentral:tmRNA from 1 species
GGGGUUGCCUAGUUUCGACAGGAUGCACAUUCAAAAUAUGCAAGCCGAUCUCGGAAGUAUGAUCGAAAAACUCGCUUCCACGAUGAUAAAUGCAAACUUCAUCACCAAGGCCAAGAACGCAUUCGCGCAAGCGUUUGCCCCUUCUUUCGCGCCUGCCCUCGCCUAAUUCAGUUUAGUGCGGAGCCAUCGAACGCCUGAUUCCCGGUAGGAACGUUCGGUGUCAUAUUAUCGGGACGACAAGAGGCGACUUCCGUUUUUUCCCGCCUUGAGCCGUAUGCACGAAGAAACGAUCCUGAAGGGAUUUCGCGUAUCUUUUACCCCUCAGUAUCACCCAAGACACGCUAAGCUUGUAGAUUAUUUUGAAGAAACAUUUUGGACAUGGGUGCGAUUCCCAUCAACUCCACAU